rnacentral:rRNA from 1 species
UACGGAGGGUGCAAGCGUUGUCCGGAAUCACUGGGCUUAAAGCGUGUGUAGGCGGGCGGGCAAGUACCUUGUGAAAUCCCACGGCUCAACCGUGGAACUGCUGGGUAUACUGCCUGUCUUGAGCCAGCUAGGGGCGAGCGGAACAGACGGUGGAGCGGUGAAAUGCGUAGAUAUCGUCUGGAACGCCGAAGGUGAAAACAGCUCGCUGGGGCUGUGCUGACGCUGAGACACGAAAGCCAGGGGAGCGAACGGG